UUAAAUUGAAGAGUUUGAUCAUGGCUCAGAUUGAACGCUGGCGGCAGGCCUAACACAUGCAAGUCGAACGGUAACAGGAAGCAGCUUGCUGCUUUGCUGACGAGUGGCGGACGGGUGAGUAAUGUCUGGGAAACUGCCUGAUGGAGGGGGAUAACUACUGGAAACGGUGGCUAAUACCGCAUAACGUCGCAAGACCAAAGAGGGGGACCUUCGGGCCUCUUGCCAUCAGAUGUGCCCAGAUGGGAUUAGCUAGUUGGUGAGGUAACGGCUCACCAAGGCGACGAUCCCUAGCUGGUCUGAGAGGAUGACCAGCCACACUGGAACUGAGACACGGUCCAGACUCCUACGGGAGGCAGCAGUGGGGAAUAUUGCACAAUGGGCGCAAGCCUGAUGCAGCCAUGCCGCGUGUAUGAAGAAGGCCUUAGGGUUGUAAAGUACUUUCAGCGGGGAGGAAGGUGUUGCGGUUAAUAACCGCAGCAAUUGACGUUACCCGCAGAAGAAGCACCGGCUAACUCCGUGCCAGCAGCCGCGGUAAUACGGAGGGUGCAAGCGUUAAUCGGAAUUACUGGGCGUAAAGCGCACGCAGGCGGUCUGUCAAGUCGGAUGUGAAAUCCCCGGGCUCAACCUGGGAACUGCAUUCGAAACUGGCAGGCUUGAGUCUUGUAGAGGGGGGUAGAAUUCCAGGUGUAGCGGUGAAAUGCGUAGAGAUCUGGAGGAAUACCGGUGGCGAAGGCGGCCCCCUGGACAAAGACUGACGCUCAGGUGCGAAAGCGUGGGGAGCAAACAGGAUUAGAUACCCUGGUAGUCCACGCCGUAAACGAUGUCUACUUGGAGGUUGUGCCCUUGAGGCGUGGCUUCCGGAGCUAACGCGUUAAGUAGACCGCCUGGGGAGUACGGCCGCAAGGUUAAAACUCAAAUGAAUUGACGGGGGCCCGCACAAGCGGUGGAGCAUGUGGUUUAAUUCGAUGCAACGCGAAGAACCUUACCUGGUCUUGACAUCCACAGAACUUUCCAGAGAUGGAUUGGUGCCUUCGGGAACUGUGAGACAGGUGCUGCAUGGCUGUCGUCAGCUCGUGUUGUGAAAUGUUGGGUUAAGUCCCGCAACGAGCGCAACCCUUAUCCUUUGUUGCCAGCGAUUAGGUCGGGAACUCAAAGGAGACUGCCAGUGAUAAACUGGAGGAAGGUGGGGAUGACGUCAAGUCAUCAUGGCCCUUACGACCAGGGCUACACACGUGCUACAAUGGCGCAUACAAAGAGAAGCGACCUCGCGAGAGCAAGCGGACCUCAUAAAGUGCGUCGUAGUCCGGAUUGGAGUCUGCAACUCGACUCCAUGAAGUCGGAAUCGCUAGUAAUCGUGGAUCAGAAUGCCACGGUGAAUACGUUCCCGGGCCUUGUACACACCGCCCGUCACACCAUGGGAGUGGGUUGCAAAAGAAGUAGGUAGCUUAACCUUCGGGAGGGCGCUUACCACUUUGUGAUUCAUGACUGGGGUGAAGUCGUAACAAGGUAACCGUAGGGGAACCUGCGGUUGGAUCACCUCCUUACCUUAAAGAA
rnacentral:rRNA from 2 species